rnacentral:rRNA from 1 species
CGUUCCCCGGGUCUUGUACACACCCGCCCGUCACACCACGAAAGUCGGCAACACCCCGAAGCCCGGUGGCCUAACCCCGCAAGGGAAGGAGCCGUCGAAGGUGGGGGCUGGCGAUUGGGGUG